AAGGAUGUUUCAGAUUUUACCUGUCGAGCUAGUUGUAUCCUAAGAGAGAGAGAGAGAAGGAGGACUUUUUGGUAUCGUAUACGUGGAAAAUAUUUGCUUGAGCCCGGGCUUGUACGAUUCACCUCUAGGAAUCCACCCAUUGCCAAGUUAAGCCUCUCAGGAUAUAUUUCCCUAAAUCUGCAGGGAGUCAGAAAGAUAGGGUUUUCCAGAAGACCACUACAGUGAAUGAAGUGAACAACACCUUGGACAAGUCAGACUACUAGAACCUUGGAUUUGUGACAAGAUUUCAAAAGUAGUGUCACAUAGCCUGUACAGAUAACUUGUGGACUAAUACUUGUAAAUAUAUACGAUUAUAAUGAAUGUAUAGAUCAAUGGGCAACUGAUCUGGUAUUGUUGUCCAUCUGGUUGAUUGUCAGAAAUCAUGAUCGAUGAAGGUGAAGACUCUUACCUCUUAGAACGCCAGACUCUGGUCUCACAUCUUUUAGAUGCCGUUAAACAGUGUCAGAUAAGAUUUGGUGGAAGAGGAGAGCUAGCUACAGAGACAGACAGCAGAGUAGUGUGUCUUUGUGCCCAGUUUGAAGCAGUACUUCAACAUGGUUUGCGAAGGAACAAUAAACGUCUAUCCGCUAUCAGGCAUAUGACAGAUAUGGUUAAAGGACUGAACAUGAAACACCCUGAUUCUGAACCAACAUUUUGGCACUUUGUACGUAACCACUUGAACAAACAUGAGUAUGAAAGAUAUAUGUUGUUGAAAAACAUAUCGACUGAUAUUGGAAGAGGACGAGCUUGGCUGAGAUCUGCAUUGAACGAACACUCUUUGGAACGAAACAUGCAUAUGUUUCUUGCAGACACAUCUGUUAUUAGUCAAUAUUAUGAAAACUGGGCUUUCUUAGCUGAUGAAGAAAGAAGCAGCAUGCUACCUACCAUGUCUGCAGGUUUGGGGUCUGUUUUGUUUGCCAUAAACAUUGACAAUCCAGACUUGAACACGUCUCGCACCAUUGUACAGAAAGAACCACAGCUAUCUUGUACCGAAUCACAGCAUGUGAAACUCAAUGUAGAACCUCUGCCAGUUGUUGUAAAGUCUGUUGGACGAGUACCAGAAAAUAGAAAAAAGAGAAGGAAAAAACCAGUUGCUCAGGUUGUGUCUUUUGAUGAUGAUGAGGUCAAGACAGAGGAUGAAAGGUCUGUAGAGUGGUCACAUGAAUGUUAUAGUGCUCCACCUACCUGCAUGUCAUCACCUGUAUCGAGCUCAGGAAACUUUCCUGACCUUGACCGACUAAGUACAUAUUCCAAUGUUAGUCUGUCAGUGUCGAACAAGUCAUCCCCACAUUUGGAAAGAAAUGAAUCUGAUAAAUUAAAUGAUGGUGCAGAUGGACAGAUGAAUCUUCAUGCCACUACCAAUUCCCAGUCUUUAAUUUCUUCCAUAGGAAUAACUGUCAAAAAGGGUUCUCCCUUGUCUAGUAGUGUGAAUAUGAGUAUGACUAGCAGUGACAGUUCAGGAGAUGUUUGUGAUCAGCCUUCAGGUUCUGAAAAUUCUUUUCCAGUUAAUGAGCUUUCCAUAAAGACAAAACAAGAUGUUGAAGCUAAUAAUUCUUCAGUGAUCAUAAGUGAUAGUGCUCCAAGUCAUACCAAUAGUAGGCAGAAAAAUGAUACCAAAAAAUUUAUAAAACAGAGUAAUCCUUUAGAACCUAAAAGAGAGGACUUCACCAAUGGAAAUAUUUUGAUGCCCAUUUUGGGCUCCUCAGAAUUCAGUGUCCCUUUAAUCCCAUUGUCUCAGGGAGAUGACAUUCCUUCCGGUAAGAAAGAUUCAGCAUCCAUUCCUAGCUAUGGAGAUGAAAUGGAAAACGCUGCAGCUGCCCUAGCCAUGACCCAAAAGAUAUCGGGCUGGGCCAACUCUUCAGGAGGAAAGACACACACUAAAGAACAAAAAAUAACAGAACCUCGCACUCGCAGUGAUACCAUGACCAUGAGUGCAGAUGAACUACGUGAGGCUUUGUUGACAGUCCUUCAAAGGAAAACAGAAGCUGAAGAACAAAUUAGCUCUCUUCGAUCUCUACUGCACCAAGAGAUGGAGUUGAAUGCAGGAUUGCGAGCAGAAAUAAAGGAUGUGAAAAAAGAUCAAGAAGAAAAAAAUGAAAAAAUUGAAGCUAAAUUUCAGACAGUAACAAGGGAAAAUGAGCUUCUCAAGCACCAGUUGAAAAAGUACAUUACUGCUGUACAAAUGUUGAAAAGAGAUGGAAUUAAAGGUCAUGAAGUACUCAAAAAUAUGAUUGGAGAGAUUGAGCCAGCUGUUCCUGAACCUAAAUUGUACAUUGAUCAUCACUAUGAGGCUAGUGAAUAUGAAAAGAAACUUGUACAGGUGGCUGAAAUGCAUGGAGAACUUUUAGAAUUCAAUGAACAACUACAUCGUCAGCUUGUACAACGGGAAACUACUAUACGUCGACUACGAGAAGAACUAAUAGAUUUACGAGGACCUUUUCCAGAAGAAAAUCAGACAUCGGAUGAUGACGUCAGUGUAACUUCUGAUUAUGAUGCGAGUUCCCAGUUAGCAAUUUCACGACCACUCAUUAAUAUCUGGAUUCCUUCUGCAUUCUUGACAGGAAGGUCAUCUGAUGUUCACCACGUCUACCAGGUUUAUAUUCGUAUUAAAGAUGAAGAAUGGAACAUUUAUCGAAGAUAUGCUCAGUUCUAUGCUCUUCAUAAGGCUCUCAAGAGAAGGAAUACUAUAGUGAACUCCUUUGACUUCCCUCCAAAAAAAUCUGUGGGGAAUAAGGAUUCAAAAGUUGUAGAAGAAAGAAGGCGAAGAUUACAACAUUACUUACGUUGUGUAGUGAACUGGUUUCUUCAACAUAAUCCUGACUUAGCCAGUAAUGCAGACAAAGAAAUGUUUUUAUCAAUUUUACCAUUUUUUGGCAAACAAGCAGACAGUCUUGAUGGACAGGAAAACUCAACAAGUACCUCAAGCCAUUUUGGAAAAUCUGGUUCAAAACUUCCAUCUGCUUCAUCAUCAAGUCAGUCUUCUCAACAACACUACAAUGGAUUAUGAAGGACAGAAAUGACUAUUUGAAUCAUCCUAAGACAGGUCCUUGUUGUGAAGAAAGAAGAGGCUGUUACAUCUUGGGUCUAACCACAGAAAUACUUGAAAAAACGGCAACCAAAGCACGAGGUCAGACCCUUAAAGUGGCAGGGCUACAUCUGAAAACCUUGCUUUUCACAUGGUCAGUCCUAUGUUGGGUGUUCAAGAAUAGAAUCACCAAGAAACUUAUAUUUUGAACCAAUAACAACUUCUAAUGUGGUGUAUCAAGAACUCAAGAGUAUCAACAACACUGAGGCUGUAGAGAGAGAUUAACACCAUAAUUUUAACACAAUUUCAGUAACGUGGAAUAAAAUAGGUGUGAAAUAAAGUAGUUGUAAAGUUAAUUAUGUGUGAAAUAAAAUAUGAAUAUAAA
rnacentral:misc_RNA from 1 species